rnacentral:lncRNA from 1 species
UGGUUUAAGAAUAAACCAGGUGCUCCGCAGGGCGCAGCUUUAUACGACCGCAGAGGUCGAACCCUGAACAGUUGGGGCAAGUAUGGACAAAACAUUCAAGCGUGAUACAGCUCUGAAUUUGGAUUGUGAUCAAAUUUUUGACAUUACAUGGUUUUUUUUUUACACAAAACAAAUGUCAAGAUUUUACAAAUCAAUUAAAGAUUUCUUCUUCAAACUUUUUAAAUCUAAAAUUAAAUAGUUGACACAGCAUAGGUUUCUGACACAGAAUGAAUGUGGUCUAAUGAACUUAAAAGUUUUUUUUU